rnacentral:rRNA from 1 species
CUACGGGGCGCUGCAGUCGAGAAUCUUCCGCAAUGGACGAAAGUCUGACGGAGCGACGCCGCGUGCGGGAUGAAGGCCUUCGGGUUGUAAACCGCUGUCAGUGGGGAGGAAAUGCAUCAGGGUUCUCCCUGGUGUUUGACCGAUCCGCAGAGGAAGCGCAGGCUAAGUUCGUGCCAGCAGCCGCAGUAACACGAACUGCGCGAACGUUAUUCGGAAUCACUGGGCUUAAAGAGUUCGUAGGCGGCCUUUCAAGUCGGGUGUGAAAUCCCUCGGCUCAACCGAGGAAUUGCGCCUGAUACUGUUGGGCUUGAGGGGGAUAGGGGUGAGCGGAACUGAUGGUGGAGCGGUGAAAUGCGUUGAUAUCAUCAGGAACACCGGUGGCGAAGGCGGCUCACUGGAUCUCUUCUGACGCUGAGGAACGAAAGCUAGGGGAGCGAACGGGAUUAGAUAUCCUCGUAGUC